GAUGAACGCUAGCGGGAGGCUUAACACAUGCAAGUCGAGGGGCAGCACGAGGUAGCAAUACUUUGGUGGCGACCGGCGCACGGGUGAGUAACGCGUAUGUAACCUACCCUGUACAGGGGGAUAGCCCGGAGAAAUUCGGAUUAAUACCCCAUAAUGAUAUCGAGAGGCAUCUUUUGAUAUUUAAAGUUUCGGCGGUACGGGAUGGGCAUGCGUGACAUUAGCUAGUUGGUAGGGUAACGGCCUACCAAGGCUGCGAUGUCUAGGGGUCCUGAGAGGGUGAUCCCCCA
rnacentral:rRNA from 1 species